GAUGAACGCUGGCGGCGUGCCUAAUACAUGCAAGUCGAGCGAACAGAUGAGUAGCUUGCUCCUCUGACGUUAGCGGCGGACGGGUGAGUAACACGUGGAUAACCUACCUAUAAGACUGGGAUAACUUCGUGAAACCGGAGCUAAUACCGGAUAAUAUAUUGAACCGCAUGGUUCAAUAGUGAAAGACGGUUUUGCUGUCACUUAUAGAUGGAUCCGCGCCGCAUUAGCUAGUUGGUAAGGUAACGGCUUACCAAGGCAACGAUGCGUAGCCGACCUGAGAGGGUGAUCGGCCACACUGGAACUGAGACACGGUCCAGACUCCUACGGGAGGCAGCAGUAGGGAAUCUUCCGAAAUGGGCGAAAGCCUGACGGAGCAACGCCGCGUGAGUGAUGAAGGUCUUCGGAUCGUAAAACUCUGUUAUUAGGGAAGAACAAAUGUGUAAGUAACUAUGCACGUCUUGACGGUACCUAAUCAGAAAGCCACGGCUAACUACGUG
rnacentral:rRNA from 1 species